rnacentral:rRNA from 1 species
AGGACGAACGCUGGCGGCGUGCUUAACACAUGCAAGUCGAGCGGUAAGGCCUUUCGGGGCACACGAGCGGCGAACGGGUGAGUAACACGUGGGUGAUCUGCCCUGCACUCUGGGAUAAGCCUGGGAAACUGGGUCUAAUACCGGAUAUGACCUGCUCUCGCAUGGGGGUGGGUGGAAAGAUUUAUCGGUGCAGGAUGGGCCCGCGGCCUAUCAGCUUGUUGGUGGGGUAAUGGCCUACCAAGGCGACGACGGGUAGCCGACCUGAGAGGGUGACCGGCCACACUGGGACUGAGACACGGCCCAGACUCCUACGGGAGGCAGCAGUGGGAAUAUGCACAAUGGGCGAAAGCCUGACUGCAGCGACGCCGCGUGAGGAUGAAGGCCGUUCGGGUUGUAAACCUCUUUCAGCAGGACGAAGCGCAAGUGACGGUACCUGACAGAAGAAGCACCGACUAACUACGCGACCACGACGCCGC